rnacentral:antisense_RNA from 1 species
GGAAAGAAAGAAAACACUUUAUUUGUAAAGAGAAAAUGGAACUUAGUACAUAUGCCAAAAUAAAUCUGUAACGCAGGCCACUUCUCUGGGCCCCAUCUUGAGUAGGUUAAAGGGUCACCUUAAAGACUAGAAACACAAUUAAGAGGCACAAAUCCACACAGAAAAUAUGCAUAUUUUGUCUCCUUUCCCCCCAAAACAAGCUGCAUAUACUUGUGUAAACUUGUUGAUUUGUAAAACAUGUCUAGUACUGCAGACAAAUGUGUGGGAUGAAAUAAAAGCCAUGAAAACAGGGCCAGGUGCAGUGGAAUAAGUUCUCCUAGCUCAGAAGGAUCUCAACCUCUUGCAAGUUACUUUUCACUUUUAAGGGCCCUUCAAGAAGCAUUUGCUUAGCUCUGUAUCCAGGCCAUCUCUCCCUCCCCGAAGAGCAACAGACCAGCAACUGACAUUAAGAUCACAUGGGUG